CUUGAUUGGCGUUUUCGCCAUCUGAACGACUCUGUGCAUUGUCAUUCGGAGAGAUGGAGACAAAAGACGCCGCUGUGAUGGCUUUUGAUGGGGAGGAAGAAGAGUGGAGAUGGAAGCCGAGGUCUAAUGAAGUGUUUUAUUGGAUAUAAAUAUGGAAAACUCAAGCCCGGAGGAGCUGCUAGGAUCCAGCUGUGAGGAUGAGAGGUAAAAGGAUCAGGGUUGCUCCGGGCGCUUUCGUCCGGGACAAUCCACGCUCCGACCCCAGUAGGAAUGGAAUCGGUCCCUGCGGAGCUCAGCGCUUAACGCAGGGCCCCGCACACCAUAAGCACUCAGUCGAUACCACCGACGGAGCGACGGACACGCAGAUGACGACGAGAUUCCACCG